rnacentral:rRNA from 1 species
GAUCCUGGCUCAGGAUGAACGCUAGCUACAGGCUUAACACAUGCAAGUCGCGGGGCAGCAGAUAAGAAAGCUUGCUUUUUUAUGCUGGCGACCGGCGCACGGGUGAGUAACGCGUAUCCAACCUGGCCCAUACCACGGGACAGCCCGUCGAAAGGCGGAUUAAUACCGUAUGCAGUCAUUAGGGAGCAUUUUUUUAGAUGACGAAAGGAUUUGGCGGUACGGGAUGGGGAUGCGUCUGAUUAG